UGGAUUUCUUGUAAUUUUUCGGGUAAGAACAUAUGCCCGAACAUUGUUUAAUAAUGAGAUGGGUCCAAACAAUUGUAUCGGUGUGUCUGAAGCCCUAAAUUUCAAUAGCGCCCUUUGUUCCUUCUAUUUUGGAAUAGCUACUACUGAGUAUGUUACAUAAAAUUUGUUAUCUUAAUGCCAGGAGCAUAUUUGAUCCACGCCAUAUGCACAUUUCCAUCCAAGGAAGUGUAAUUUAUUUGAAUCGAGGAAGAGGGCACAUGUAAUAAAAUUCAGUAUUACUAUUUUACAUCAUUUACUCCAGUCACCUACUAUGUUAGUUUUAAUUAUGAGAAUAUGCUCUAUUUUGCAGCAUUGACAUAAUUCUCCAAGGGAAGAAGCGGUUUGACAUGAAUCCUCCCGUCGAUCCCUUCGAAACUAAAGUGAGGUGCCCUGUGAUUUAGCUCUGACUCUAGGGGAUCACACCAGGUGUUUGAUGUGGUGCAAAGAAAUUCGCACAGGUAUUCGUUACUAAUAUUAAUUCUGUAAACUACAAAGUAUUGGAUAUGUGCAUGCUUAAGUUGCAUUGUCUGAGUCUUGUUCUAGAUACACAAACAGUCAACCAUAUACAUGGAAUCCGUAGCAUAGCUAUUUAUCACUAACUUGUCACUUGG
rnacentral:lncRNA from 1 species